rnacentral:rRNA from 1 species
UACGUAGGGGGCAAGCGUUAUCCGGAUUUACUGGGUGUAAAGGGCGUGUAGCCGGGUUGACAAGUCAGAUGUGAAAUCCUGCGGCUUAACCGCAGAACUGCAUUUGAAACUGUUGAUCUUGAGUACUGGAGAGGCAGACGGAAUUCCUAGUGUAGCGGUGAAAUGCGUAGAUAUUAGGAGGAACACCAGUGGCGAAGGCGGCCUGCUGGACGAUGACUGACGUUGAGGCUCGAAAGCGUGGGGAGCAAACAGG